rnacentral:rRNA from 1 species
UACAGAGGUUUCAAGCGUUGUCCGGAUUCAUUGGGCGUAAAGGGUGCGUAGGCGGCGCGGUAAGUCUGGUGUGAAAUCUCGGAGCUUAACUCCGAAACUGCAUUCGAUACUGCCGUGCUUGAGGACUGGAGAGGAGACUGGAAUUUACGGUGUAGCGGUGAAAUGCGUAGAUAUCGUAAGGAAGACCAGUGGCGAAGGCGGGUCUCUGGACAGUUCCUGACGCUGAGGCACGAAGGUCAGGGGAGCAAACGGG